GCACCGGGGUAAAGGUGACUGCUUUGUGCCGCACUGACUGUAAUUUGACUGCCGCCCUCAGAGUAUCAGUCAGUCGGCUUUUUUUCAGUCUGUGAGUGAAGUGCACCUGGAAACUUCAUUUUUAUCCCCUUCCCAAUAUGUCCAUCAGUCGGAAAAACUGGUCAGCUUUGUCCAGCCUCGCUCGUCAGUGGACGAUGGAGGACGAGGAGGAGGUCGAGAGGGAGAAGAGGAGGAGGGUGAAGAGCUCCAGCACCACCGCCGACCCAGAUUCUGACCUGAGUCCUACAAAGAGAAACACAACCACCAGUGACGGCACCACUGGGACAGACUCCAGUGAGACGUCCCAGGGCCUCAGCAGGUGCUUCUCACAGCUCAGCAAAACUAAUUUAUUGAUUUCUGCUUGUCGAAACUUGCCUUUUACAGUCUGAACAUGAUCCUCUUCCUCUGUUGCAUUCUCUCUUUCUUCUUUUGUUUGUUUCUGGCAUGUAAGAUGGCCACUAUUGAUUACUAAAAUGAUGCACACAGGGAGGAUUGUUGCAGUUCUGCCCCAUGGGAGUGUGUCAUCUGUAUUCUUUUCAAACACAAGAAAACACCUGAUACUGUGCAUGAAAAGUAUGAAAAGCUGUCAAAAAAGAACACCAACAGCUGAGUCCCUGGAGCAAAAGCAGCCUUAAAAGACAGAAACCAGAUCAGGUUUUUGGCCUCUGUCUUGAGACGAUCCAUCUUUUGUAUCGGACAUAAACAUGUGCUCAUAUGUUGUUUAUUGCCAGCGUGGAGCAGAUGCAGCUGGACUUUGUGGAGAUGCUGCGAGUGCGCGACGAAAAGAGGAGGAUGAGGCACGUGGAGACGCUGAGACGACAGAAGGAGGAGGAAGAGGUGGAUGAAGGAGAGGCCGGCAGAGGAGGAAGUGGCAGAGUGGAGAUACUGGGAGACCUGGAUGAGGAACAAGGCAACAAUACAUUCAAAACACAACCGCCUUCAAAACCACCCAGCAGUCCCAUCAACAACAGCAGCAGCAGCAGCAGCAGCAAAACCAGAACUAUCAUCACAAACAGACAAUUCUGUCUCCAUCUCACUGGACAAGAGUCCCUCCGUCAGCGGUAGCACAUCUCCCAUGAGCCCACGCUCUCCGACAGCACCCCGGUCGCCCCGGGAACACUGGCCUUCACCCUGCCAGAGUCCGUCUCCUCGGGGGGUUAGAGGCCUUCUUCAGAAUGGACACGCUCAGGAGACCAGUUUGAAUGACUCUUCCGCCAAUGGAAACUUUGAACCGACGGCCAAACCUGCCUUUGUCAGACAGAGCUCCAGGACUGUAUCUUUCAGGAUGAUGAGAAAGAAAGAAGAGGAGACUUCACCGCUGCAGAGGAGUGCAAGUGUGAGGAUGGCCUCCAAGAAGUUUGAAUGCAAUACAGACCAAGAUGAAGAUGAAGACAAAGCAUCAUCUUUCCAGAGAAACUCCAGACAGAGGAUUUCAUCCAGAUCCAUCCAGGAGAAGAUGGAGAGACUGGCUCAGGCUGCACAGAAAUCAGAAGCGACGCGAUCUCCAGACAUGACCCAGAGAUCCCUGUUUCUUCUGGACGAGGUGUCCAGGAAGAGAGGCCUCUUUGAGAAGGAGCAGCCGGCACAGAGUCUCACCAGUCCGGGAGUUUCCAGACAGGAAUUUAGGAGCUUCACGUCAGGAAUGUCCGACCGGAUCAACCGCUGGAUGAACAAGGCAAACCAACCAGGGUCUUCACAUGGUCCUUCGGACUUGAGACACGUGGACAUCAAUAGUAAGAGGAGCUUGUUUGAGAACAGGGGGGAGGAAAACGUCUCAAAAGGCACCCCUGGAAAAAUCUACAAGUGAAGGCCGGUCAUUUAUUAUGCUCAACAGGAUUUCUAAUACAGCAUGACGAGAGACGGCGAUUGAGGGAUGAUUAACGGAUGCCAUGACUGACUGAUUUUCUUCUUUUUCUUUUCUUUUUUUCUUCACUGCUAAUGUGAGCAACCAGCAGGAGUCACCGAGGGGAAAAAAAGUGUUGCGUUGUAGCUUUAGAGGACUGAAAUGGAAGACACAGCUUUUAAAGUUAGGAGGCUUCUAUCAUUUACUUCUGCAUUGCUUCUCGAAGUAUAAAUAUGUCUUAUUUCAAAUGCUGAAUGUUAAAAGUCAGAGUGAGGAAAGGAGUUAAAAGGAAUGUCGACAUGAGAGGAAGAGAAAGUGGGAGAAAAAGGAAGGGCGGUGGUAUUUGUUCUUUCAAAAAAAGAAAAACCUUUUCAUGUGUUUGCAUCUGUGUAAUUUUCCAAGCACUUUAAAAGGGUGAAGGUCUUGAUGAUGUCUGUGUGCAUUGAACUUGAGCACUGCUCGAGUUGUAAUUGUAUGUUUUAUCUAAUCUGCCAAACAUAAUUUUGUGUUUCAUCUGGACUCGUGGACAAGAUUCUGCCUGUCUGAGGAAUAAAAUGUUUUCCUAC
ensembl:lncRNA